rnacentral:lncRNA from 1 species
GUAUUUAGCAUCCCUCGCCACAAAAGUGACAAGACCGUAUAGUAUAUUGACUUAACAAACCCCCGUCGGGUGGUGUGCUACUCCUAUAGCGCUAUAAUUGUUAAGCGAGGGUAUAACAUAGUAAUGGCAUAAAGCAUGUAUCAUAUAGCAUAACAAGUAGCAUAUAUAACAGAUUGAGUUCAUAAAGCAUGUUUAUGUGUGUUAGCAUGUAUAACGGAUUGAGUUCAUAAAGCAUGUUUAUGUGUGUGUAAGUGUAAUUUUGUAUGGUAACAUGUUACAACCCAAAAGUGGUUUAAAAUGUAAAUGG